GGGUUUUAUAGAAAUCGCACGAUCCAUUCCAUAUCAAUUCAUCACACACAUGUGUAAACUGUUGGAAAUGGGAUUUGAAUGAGAAAAUUGACUCGGGUCGGCGGGUCAUGGACUUGGCUCGGGUCGUGAACGUGACGGGCGGGUUUGUGAUACUACGUCGUUUUGACGACGGUUACACGCCAACGGAAUCUAUAAAUAAACGGUGUAGGAAGCUUUUAAAAGAUAAUUUUUCCCCUCCCCGUUCUGUAAAUUUCCGUACCGUUAUACAGAAAUGUUAUUUCCCGUUCCUUCCCUCAAAACUCCGUUCUGCAGUAAUUUUCCCGUUCUGCCGUCCCGUUCCCGUUCUGCAUAAAAUUCUGUUUUUCUGCAUAAAAUCCCGUCACCGUUCUGCAGAAUCCCGUUCUCUGCAAAAGAGUUGCACUUCCGUUUCUGCAAAUUUCCGUUAUAUGUAAAGUGUUGCAGUAAGUUUUAUCUUCAUGCAUGCAUCAUUAACAUUCAUAUUAAGUUCAGUACAUAAACAUAGAAAUUGGUUCGAUGAAUUCUUAAUUUUG
rnacentral:lncRNA from 1 species